UCGCUAUUUAUGUCUUUAGGAGAAAAACAUUUUAACAAAAUGUUUAAAGUAUUAUCUUAUACCUGUAAAUGUCUAUCUUUAUAUCAACAAGUAUUGCGUUUUGAGAAUUCUCGUUUGGUUUAAACUUCUGAAUAUCAAGCCGAUAAAUGAUAAAAUGAUAAAAUGUUUGGAUUAGAUAACCUGUGAACUGAAUAUGAAUAUUUUAUCUUACAAUAUCAAUUAUAUCUACUACUGGAAUAGUGCGUGUCGAUUUAUUACAUGUAUUCCGUGGAGUUAGAGAAUUGCAGGCUAAAUGGGAAACUCAGUUAUAAAACCUAGUGCACAAGAUCUGCUUGAUUUUAUCAAGAAAGAGAUUAAGACAUGGGACGAUAUCUUUAAAAAAUUAAUGGGCAACGACAAAACGCAUCAUUAGAUCAUCUUAUUUUCGAUGCAUUUGAUGGGACAGAAGAAAGGUGGAAUAAAAUAAGAAAGCAAAUGCCAUGUAACAAAUACCGUGAAAGGCGCACGAGUUAUAUAUCUGAGAGAGACGAGCUAUGUAGGUCAAAUAAUACCAUAAAAUACUUGACUUUAGACAAACAACAACUUCAACAACAAAAUCAAUACCUUGAGAUGCGAUGUAAAGAUAUGCAAACGACCAUUUCAAAGUUAGAGGGAUGUGUAAGCGAGCUGAAUCAAAGGAACCAACGAGUCCAUUUGGCUUCAAAACAUUCGGCAAAUGAGGACAAAAUGUCAAAAAGCAAAGCUUAGUAAACUGGCAGGAUAGAGACUUGUAGACAACAAUCCAGCAAUUACUGAUUUAAGUGAUCCAAACAGACCAACAAAACUUGGAGAAUUUUACAGUGAACUAAAUGACAAUGAAUGGACAAAUGCUCUUGAUGUAUUGCAUCAGAACGGACAUGAAGACGAUAUCGCUAUAGAAACAUUGAAGCUUACAUUAUUGAAUAUUUAUAAAUUUUGCGAGAACAAAGCUGGUAUGGUUCUAAGGCAAUCAACAGAUGCAGUGAAUUUACUUUUUGAUGAUUACAAGCAGGCAGUUGUUUCAGCGGUACCUUCCCAUUUGACAGUUCGAGUACAAAAUUAUCGCAAACGAAAGUGCAUUCUUCCCGAAAUACAACUGCAGCAAAGAUGGAAGCCUAACAUGCCUAAGGAGCAAUCUUCCGUAGUUGUAUCACAGAUAAGGAAGGAGUCCUCGGCCAGAUCUGAAAUGGUAUUUAACGUUUUAAAA